AAAUAGAACAGUAUCAAAAUAAUAUUUCUUAUUAAAAGGGGCUAAGAUAUUCCUUGAAUAAUAUAAUCUCCUAAAUAAAAUGGCAUAGUUCGAAGACUUGGUUUAAGUCAUGAGGUACAAGUGUAUUGAAAUUAAAACAAAAUUUCAUCUGUUUGAUCAUCUUGUUGUAGUCAUCCCCUCACCAAUCUCUCUUUACUAGUUUAAGAACACAAAAGAACAAGCCUUCGGGAUUCC